UGCCUGAUGGCUGUGGCCGGCACUGGGUCUUUCUCUGCUCCAAAUGCUCUGCACAGAUUUCUAGUGGGCAUCCAAAACUCUUCAGGACUAAGGAUGGGAGAAGCAUUUGUCAUGCAUUGACUGCUGAGACACCAGCAAAGCCCAGGCACAGAAUUCCGCCCUCCAGAGGAAUGGCUGGAGUUCUGUCCGUGAGCCAGUUUUCAGUUCCAGCUGUGCAAUCCUGGGUAAGUCACUUCUGAGUCUCAGUUUCCACAUCUGUAAAAUGGAGGGGAUAAUCAACUACCUAAGAAGCCUGCUCAGAGGUUUAAUGAGAACAUGCAUGAAAGGUCUUCCAAUUCCAAGGUAUUCUGUCAUGUCCCGCGGUCCUCGUACUGACAUCAGAAUAACCAGAGGAACUUUUAGAAAACAUAACCUGCCACAUGCCACAUCUACAGAGUCAGGGUGGGGGGCAGGGGUGGAGACACAUCCUUUUUCUUCCAGCUCUUCUUUUCUGCUAUUUCCACACAUGGUCCUGAUGCUUUAUUAACUUAAGACCUGCCAGCUUCUGAUAGCUGAAAAGAAGAAAAUGCAGCAAGAAAAAUAGAGAUCCUGGAGGCUCAUGGAGAUACAUUGGAUCUGAAGGGUUUUCUGGUCAGGGCUUGAUCGCUAUAAUGAAGGACAGAAAAUGAAAGACCUGUCUCAAAACAUGGAAAAUGAGCAAAGCGGCUGAAGGGACGAAUAGUGUCUUCUGACCUCCACUCAAGGGCUCUUCGAGAAAAGAGAUCUUCCAACAGAUCACCCGCAGCUUCAGUAUGGCUGUUCAGGUAAGUCAAUUAAAAUCACACCACGACCAGACAUGGUGGCUCACACCUGUAAUCCCAGCACUUUGGGAGGCCAAGGCAGGAGGACUGCUUGAGCCCAAGAGUUCGAGAUCAGCCUGGGCAAGAUGAUAAGACCCUCGUCUCUACAAAUAAUUUAAAAAUUAGCGAGGCACAUGGUGGUGUGCCUGUAGUCCCAGCUACUCAGGAGGCUGAGGCAGGAGGAUCCCUUGAGCCCAGGAACUCAAGGUGGCAGUGAGCUAUGAUUGCACCACUGCGCUCCAGCCUGGGUGACAGAGUAAGACCUCAUCUCUAAGCAAAUAAAUAAAAGCACACAGCACCCU
rnacentral:lncRNA from 1 species